rnacentral:rRNA from 1 species
CCUACGGGCGGCAGCAGUCGAGAAUCAUUCACAAUGGGGGAAACCCUGAUGGUGCGACGCCGCGUGGGGGAAUGAAGGUCUUCGGAUUGUAAACCCCUGUCAUGUGGGAGCAAAUUAAAAAGAUAGUACCACAAGAGGAAGAGCCGGCUAACUCUGUGCCAGCAGCCGCGGUAAUACAGAGGUCUCAAGCGUUGUUCGGAAUCACUGGGCGGAAAGCGUGCGUAGGCUGUUUCGUAAGUCGUGUGUGAAAGGCGCGGGCUCAACCCGCGGACGGCACAUGAUACUGCGAGACUAGAGUAAUGGAGGGGGAACCGGAAUUCUCGGUGUAGCAGUGAAAUGCGUAGAUAUCGAGAGGAACACUCGUGGCGAAGGCGGGUUCCUGGACAUUAACUGACGCUGAGGCACGAAGGCCAGGGGAGCGAAAGGGAUUAGAUACCCGAGUAGUC